rnacentral:rRNA from 1 species
CACGUAGGGCGCAAGCGUUGUCCGGAAUUAUUGGGCGUAAAGAGCUCGUAGGCGGUCUGUCGCGUCUGCUGUGAAAACCCGAGGCUCAACCUCGGGCUUGCAGUGGAUACGGGCAGACUAGAGUGCGGUAGGGGGAGAGUGGAAUUCCUGGUGUAGCGGUGAAAUGCGUAGAUAUCAGGAGGAACACCGGCGGUGUAAACGGCUCUCUGGACCGUAACUGACGCUGAGACACGAAAGCGUGGGGAGCAAACAGG